CUAGUAAUAAUGAAUGAAUGCACUGUUUAUUGACUAUUUGCAAAUUGUUUUUGUUAUCUCAGAUUGAAAUUUUGGAGGUAUCAAUUCCUUGAGAUGGGAGGAGAACGGAAGGAAAACAAACAACUACCUUUUCCUUUCCUGUUGUUGCUGAUGUGCACUUUCCCUGUCUUCCACGUCAUGACUCAGGAAAUGAGGGGGUGCAUCUCAGAGGGCACCCUGCCUGUGUUCUCUGUCAUUGCCUGUGAGCCACCGACUGAUACCAUCAUUUUAAUCACUCAAGAAGCCUUCCUUUCAGGAAUGUAUAUUGCUUCUUGGCCCCUGCCUUCUCCCUGGAAAUCCUGGGCAAAGAGCCAGGGAAAAAACAACAUUUACUGGAUUUGGUACUUGGCGAAAGAAACUGACAAAUUAAGAAAUGAGAGAGAGAAUAAAUGCACUGUGCAUGCUGAAACCCCAAGAAGACUUUUUUUCUCCUACUUUUUAUGGACCUGAGGUGUUGGAAAUGGAAACAUUGUUUCAAACAAAAUCCAGAUUUUUAUCUCUCUCCCCAAGAGAUAUGGCUUUAAUCUUUUUUCUUUUCUUCUGCUGCUUUUCUGAAACACUCUGCUAGGGGCUGAUUUCCUCUUCUUUGAAACAGACCAAAAUAUCCCUGUGGGUGAAAAACAUGCCGGAAGUGAAACAGAAAGACUCAGCUUGCCCCGUGUUCGUGGUCUGUCAACUUCUCUAGCCAGUGCCUGGAUCCACAGCUCACUGCUGCCGGUUGCCCUGCGUUAGCCGCAUUGCGGGGGAGACAGGAGAGGCUUGAAGGCUUUUUAUAUUCUACUCUCUUCUGAAGAAUUCACAAGUUAGCAAGCACUCAACCACUACUAACCAGAAGGUAUUGCCAACCAUAACAAACUACACCCAUCAACAAGGCCUCCCUCAUAUUGCAAUCCCAGCAGAAAAUGAUGCAGGAAAAGCACUCCCCAAAUCUUGGUUGCCUGCCACCCAAGUUCUUAUGCCAAGAUAUGUGUUUAGCCAGUUCUAAGAUGCUGCCACCUUUUCAUGUGUCCAACACUAGGCUUUCUACCAUAGUUCCCUCCACCCAGAAUGUGUUACUUGGCUCCUACAAAUGCAAGAGGAAGUGCCCUUCCCUGAACAGAAAUCAAAACACAGGGUGAAACCACGACUUGUUUUCAACAGGCCUCCUGUUGUGAGCCCUCCCAGCUGUGCUGCCUUUCUCCAAGAGAGCUGGGACUGGCGGCUCGAAGCGGUAUAAAUGGCCUGUGCCUCUUCCUGAGGCUGCCUGUAACAAGUGUCUCAAGAGCAAUUCGUCAUCGGCUGGAGAUUACCAACUUGGCUCACUGAACCAGAUCGUGCUUUGUCACAUGUGAAAUUCUGAUGUUCUAAUACAUGGCUUGUUUGCAAACUACGCCUUAAAUAAAUAUAUUCAGGAUAUUUAACAAUA
rnacentral:lncRNA from 1 species